rnacentral:rRNA from 1 species
CGUUAACGAACGAGACCUUAACCUGCUAACUAGCCCGACUCACUUUUGUGGGCCGCUGGCUUCUUAGAGGGACUAUCGGCUCAAGCCGAUGGAAGUUUGAGGCAAUAACAGGUCUGUAAUGCCCUUAGAUGUUCUGGGCCGCACGCGCGCUACACUGAUGAAGUCAACGAGUUCAUUUCCUUUAUCGGAAGAUAUGGGUAAUCUUUUGAAACUUCAUCGUGAUGGGGAUAGAGCAUUGCAAUUAUUGCUCUUCAACGAGGAAUCCCUAGUAAGCACAAGUCAUCAGCUUGUGCUGAUUACGUCCCUGCCCUUUGUACACACCGCCCGUCGCUACUACCGAUUGAAUGGCU